AGUUUAAGAAGUGGCGGCCGGGGGGUGGCUUCGCGCGUCCGUUGCUAAAGGUGGUGGGAUUAUAAAAAGGGAGGGGGAACGGGUGGAUAAGCCAAGCCGGGCCCGUCCUCCUCCUCCACCGUACCCAAACAUGCAGGUAAAGCCCACAUGUCAUCAUCAGGUCAUCAUGAACAAGCAUUCAAUGAUAAAUAGUUCCAAGUUACAUCCAACGUUUCAAUAAAUCAGGUCAGGUUUUGCCUAGCUCAAGGACUAAGAAUUACAUCUCUCAGACAGACAUAUAAUGGUUAUUGGUGUGUAAUGAAAAUUACAGACACAGCACAGCCUACAACAGCUGGGUUUCUCGUCUCUUUUCUUCCUUCUUUUAUACACACACAACGGUGGGAAGCAGCAGCAUUGUAGAAUGAAAGCCCCUGCCUUCUUCCGAGGAAAAUAGUUUCUUCAUGGGCUGGGCUGGGCUGGCCUGCUGCUACCGGAGUCUUAGAGCUGUGCUGCCCCUAGUUGGCCGAGAGGAAAUGCACACGGGCGAGCGGAUACUCCUUCCCAGAAACCCACACGCCGGUCUGCGACCACUGCACAUCCUCCCACUCCAGAUUGUCCUGCAGCACCUGUGUGCCACUCGCAACAAACAGACAACAUGGUUUCAAUGAUGCCGCCUACGCCCGGUGGAGGAAGAAAGAAGAAACGAUGUGACUUUGAUGUAGAGGGAAAUUACCUCAACUUGUUCAGCUGGCAGUGGGAUACCGAUAGAUCUCAUGGCAACCUCUGGCAUGGCUUUCUUACACCGUGACCAUCGGAACACGUCCCGGAGUUCAUGCUCCGUGGAGCCCCUGUCACCGUUUUGCAAAUGGUGGUGGCUAUUGUUCUGGUGUUUCUCCGGUUCCAAAUCGGAUGCAUUGGAAUUUGAUCCAAUGGGGCGAGGCCUUUCCCCACUAAAGCACAGCUCAUACCUGCGAGAACUUAAGGCCAACAAGACAAGAAUUGAAAGACAGUGAGUAAUAUGCAAGUGAAAGCACAAUUUCCACAAGAAUGCCAAUAAACAUAAAACAGUCAGAACAGUAAGUCAGUCGUUUAUACCUAUUGAAAUGUGUUUCCAAGUAUAUGACUUCACCCUUUUUCAGCCUCGCCGAAGUAUAGAGAGACUUCUUCAAUCCCUUGUCUGCCACAAUGCUUAUACUGUAUUUUAACCUGGAGGAAGAAAAGACAAAACAAAAAAAUGCUUACUAGGAGCAACCUUGAAUCAAAACAGAACAAGGCAGCAGCCUCUACAAGCAGAACUGCAGAAGACAGAAGCGCUCAAAAACACGAUAACUGCUAUGACACAGAAAAUGGCAAUAUAGGUACUUUGGUGAACUGAAAAUGAAGGGUUCAGGAGGUAAGUCGGGAAAGUACCAUGGCUCGUUGCAGAGAUUGUACUGUAUUGUAACUUCUCGAACAAAUCUUUGUUGACGUAAUGCAUUCUGCAUGAAACAUAUUGAUAAAUCCUUAGUAGAGAAUAGAAACAAAGGUCACUGGUUACAAGAAGAAAAUCAAAAAUAUUGAGAAGUAGAACUUCUAUGCAUUCAAGCUGAACUUUUUGUUAAGAGAGGAACAAAAGAGUAUCAGAAAAUUACAGAAGCUGCUGCUCUUGUUGUCAUUGUACGCUCUACUGCAACUGGAGCUAGUGUAGGCUCCACGGCUGACGUAUGGCUAAGGCGAGGUUCGAGAUCAAUGGCACCACCACCUUUCUGCAAAAGCGUAAAGCAUGCUAAACAACCAAUCUUCAAACAGUACUCAAUCAAAGGAUUUCACAAGUUUGUAGCAUAAACAGAAUAAUUAGAAAGGGAAAUAUUAUAAUAUUCUGUACAGUUUAACAGUCUUGAUACCUUAACAAUGCAGCAGCGUUCUAUGCGGAAGCUACAACCAAUACCAGCACCCCAAGCACGUGAACGGACAUUGUUCCUUAGUGUUGAAGUAUAACCUGGGAGAUAUACCAUGUUUUAUAAGAAUACUGAUUCAACGAUCUGACAUUUUAAGCAAGUCCAACUGAAUUGACACAAAAUUAGUUAAGGCUUACUGUCUUGUGGUGGUAGCACACGGACAGUUGCACGCAGUUCUUGGAUGGCAGAUGGUGGGGGUGAUGAUGUAGGGGAGCAGUAACCAGUAUGCAUUAACACUAAAAGAAACGAUCAUUAGAACACCGGCUUUCUGAGCUACUUUAGAAGAUUGAAAAAAACAAUGAAGUACUUACCAGCCACAAGGUCUGAAUCGUUUGUAUAAACAUCUGUUCCCCAAAGCUGAGCGCCUUUUACCUACAAAACAGUGAUUUUUAGUUUUUAAUAAGUGAAUAAAGUAGUUAAUGGAAGAAGUUCGCUACAAUUGUUAAACAACACUUGCUAACUAUAAGAGCAGCAAAACAAAGGGGCGAUGUAAUCUUCAGCCCACAUGAUGUCAGAACGUGCAAGAUAAACAGUGUGUUCGUCCAUAUCUCAGAAAAACAGAGUGAAAUAACGAUUGAAGAAACUCCUAUAGCAUGUCAAAUGCCAGAAAGCAAGACAGUAAUGCGCUUUCUAGCGUUCAUCAUUUAUUGUUUUCCGUAUGCUACUUGAGGAGAAAGGGAAAAAAAUCCAGCAACAUAGGCAUGGCGACUGAUUAAGUGACUAAGAGUCUAAUACAGAAAUCACCUACGAAUUAGUAGACUUACUUGCCGAUUAGUGGAAGUAACAAACUCAGCAGGUAUCCGAAUUUCAAGAGUAGGAACAUUUUGUUGAUUCUCAGCAUUUCUAGCAUCUGGGGUUGCUUCAAACUCUUUCCAGGAUUUCAGAAGCUCUUGCAUGCAUUCACCAGCUUUAUAUACAAUUGCAGAUAUCUCAGAUUUACCUGCACCAAUGAGGAUACUAAGAUAACAAAUAUAAAGCUGGCGAUUAUGGACCAUGGCAAAAGAAUCAUUUUAUGCAGCUUGGAACUCGGUCUCAUGAAUAAUUUCUACGUGAAAGGGAUUUCAAAUAAAUGGAUCAUCAGAAUUAAUCAUUUUUUGCUCCAACUGGAUUUAGCCAAAUGAUAGAAAAAACAAAACAUGCAUAUGUGUGCAUAUAAAAUGGAUCACCCCAAAUGCAAAGAGAUUUUGAACACUGAAGUGGAUGUCAGAGCACUAAAUCCCACAGAAAAAUGUGCAGUGAAAUCUCAACGUGAACUAAAACCUUAUGAGAAGGAAAUAUAAAAUUAUCUAGGUGCUAAGCUGUUGAUGACUCCAGUUUCGAAGAAAGCACCACUAUCCAUUGUUCCAUUUUAUUCAGCUAGGAAUGAAGAUAAUCUACUGACCUUGAGACCUGCAAGAAGAAAUAAAAGAGCAUAAGAUUUUUCAAUUGGGUUAUCACUUAUAGUAAUUUUAUCACCUAGUAAUUCUCAAAGUGCAGAUUUCUAGAAAUGGAAUGUGAUUCGUGAUAGCUAUGCUCAUACACACUAUUAUGCUAUUUGAAUCAAGUACAAGAAACAUGGCAAGAUGCAGUGUUAGGCUUACCCUUCACCAUCACGCAUUUUGGACCGGAACCGAGGUUCUCGUUGAGAUGCUUGACCACCUCCCUUUGAACGUGCCAUCCUCCUGCGCUGGAUACUUCCGAAGGUAUCCUUAUCUUUCUCUGUAUCUCCUUCAGGACCAGUAUCAUCAGAUUCUUUGUCAUUAUAUUUACUCCUUUGGUCAUGCCUGUCUCCUGUAUCCACAUCCUUCUCUCUUCUCUUGUCCUUGGAGUUAUCAUGAGAUUUCCAUGUGUCAUCUUUAAGUGUCUUCAUUUCAGCAGCUGUACUCUCAUGUUCAGCGGGUUUAACAGCUCCAUCGGAAGCUGCUUUUUCCAGCAUUGCAGUCUCCUUGUUAACUGCUAUUAAUGAAUCCUUCUUGGAAGAAUCCUUCUCACGGUCAUUGAUUUCCUUGUCCUUCUGAGAAUCUUUUCUUUCCCUGUCCCAUUUUUCCGCAUCCCGAUCAUCCCUUUGAAUGUCUCUUCGUUCAACACUGCCGCCUGCAAGCUGAAUACCAAUUCUGCGAUCAUUUCUUUCAGUGUCUCUUGCACCAAAAUCUCUAUAUUUUUCAUCUUUCUUUCUCCUGUCCUUGUCUCUGAACUUAUCUUCACUUUUAGGUUCUAUUUUAUUCUCACCAAUAGAUUCAUGUGCAUCCUUGGAGUUGCGUUCUUCCACAGGAGUUGGAACCUUGGGAGUUUCAUCAGUGCCUUGCAAACCAGGACGGAAACGCCAACCUGCAGUAUCAUCUGGCUGUUCAAUAUAUCUUUUACCCCUGGUGUCUUUAUUAUCUUUCCAGGCUAAGUUUGAAGUUCCAGUAGGAUGGCUAUCCUUAUCUGAUUUGACAACAUCGCCUGUGAAAUCACCAUGCACCCUUCGCUCAGCUCUUAUUUCAUUGUCAUCUGCUCUGUUGUUUGUCUUUACAUCAGUCUCAACUUUAUUGCCUUGAAAUUCAAUCCUGCUAUCACCAUGGACAUCUCGAGCAUCAGAUUUUGCCUCCCGAUCAUCAACCUUGGUGUCCCGUGCAUCUUUGUUUUGUUUUGAUUCUAAUCUGCUGUCAGAUGGGAUUGUGUGGUCUACAAAGUUGGAGGAGGCAACAGGCAUCCGAUGUGUCAGCGAUGGUCUCUUGUCAUCACGCGACUCAACACGCGGUAUUUUGGCAAAUCUUACAUCAUGUUCAAAAGAACCAUGGAAAUCACUACUGCCUGGUUGAAUGAGUUUCCCAGAAGGGCUCGGAUACACGCUGCUCUCGUCCAAAGGCCGUUUCGCAGGUGUAGAGUGGCUACCCUCCUCAUGCAAUCUUUUUGGAGCACCACUCAUUUUACCUCAAAAUGUCAAGGAAUCCUUCAAUGUGAACCAAGACUAAUGCAAAUAUAGCAGGAAGGUCUCGAAGUCUUCAACACAAGGCGCUGCCAGGAAAUAUUAGAAUCGGUCAGAACAUAUUAGUUACUUUUUCCUUUUAAAAGCUAGAUAGUACAAUAAAAAAAUUGGAUACUUGGGUUGCAUGGUUUACAAUAAGCUUGGGGUACAGCAAGUCAUUUAAUGUAAUGAAGAUGUCCUUUUAUGAUGGUCUUGACCAAAAUGUUUGGGUCCAAACAGAUCCGAUCAUUUCUCGAGACAAAAGAAAGAAACUCUUCCCAGCAUGUAAACACUUAAUAUGAACAUCCAGCAAGCCGUGUACCAAUCACGAUCCAGAGAAUCAAACUAAUGAAUUACAGAAUACACAGUAUGUUAUAGGAAGCAAGUGAUAAAAAUUUCAAGGAAUGGCGUCAGUCUAGGGGACACGUCGGUGGUAUGGGAUUGUAUAAACAGGAACAUAUUUGUAACAAAUUUUUGAACUAAAUUCUACUCCCUCCGUCCCAUAAUAUAAUAGCUCAUUAUGGGACAGAGGGAGGAGCUAUCAUCCAGUUUAGUCAUUGUAAAACUGGGACCCAUCAGGGCGGACAAAAUGACCAGGAACAGGGUACGAUUAGCACCAGGGUGGACAAAGCAUCUUCUUCCCAUUUUUCUCACAGAACAGGACAGCGGCCAGAAUGGAAUGGAAUUAAUAUGCGAGAUUAGAAGUUGCUCAAAAAAAACUAAUCUGGAUUGCUCACGCUAAAUAAAAGGCAAAAAGGAUGGCCAGAUUGUUCAAGCAAGCUAGGUUCCUCACCAACAAACUAGAGGGGGGGAUCUGGAUGGUGCACACCCAGAAUUUGUGCAGGUUAGUUUGCGAUUAAAAUUAUUACUGGAUGAGAUGACUAAUUUGUCAUACCUCCAAAAUCUGGUCUAAGAUUGCGGACAGAGUGGAGACAGCAGGGGGGAAAUGAGCAACAGAUGGAAGAAGGAAGAAGCCUGAAACAUUUGAUUCAAAGUACAUCAUUUUUAUCAUGCUAGGCGAGUAAUUGCGCCAUGAACAAGAUAUUGUGCAGUUUUAUGUCUAAUUUCAUCUCAACUUGUGUCCUCCAACAACUUCAACUCGAUUGCACUGCUGGCACUGAAAUACUAGGGCCAGGAACACGGCAGAACUAGCGCCAGAAUCAGACAUAAUAUCUUCUUACCUCAAGUAACAGGGCAGCAGACAGAAGCCCAGAACAGGAUGGAAUUCAUAAGCGAGAUCUAAAGUGAGAUGAGAGGACGUUGAAUCCCUAAAAUUGACUCUGCCAACCUAGGGCAGGGGGGCAAACGCGCCAAAAGCCAUUUCUUUUGGCGUUCACAAAACCCACCCACCGAUAUAAAAUCCAUCAACCUAGCGCGCGGUCACAGACCAAGCAAGAACCGUAAGCGGGGCGGACCUAAUUGAACCCACAAUUACGCGAGAUUUAGAAAUUGCUGAAAAAACCCUAAAAUGACCAGGAACAUGGUGGAAUUAGCGGCGGCAUCGUCUUUCCAUUUUUCUCACGGAACAGGACAGCGGCCAGAGCGGAAUGGAUUCCAUAUGCGCGGGAUUAGAAGCUGCUGGUCAAAAAAAGAAACUAAUACGGAUUCCUCACGGUAAACGAAAGGCGAAAAACACGGCCCCAUUGCUCGAGCAAGCUAGGGUUCCUCGGCAACGAACUACUUGCAGGGGCGGAUCUGGACGGUGCGCAGCGCGCCAGAAUUUGUGAUGGUUAAAUCAUCACUGGAUGAAAUGGCCGAAAUGUUCAUGCCUCCGCAACCGAUGUCUAGGAUUGAGGAACGGGGCGGAGACGGCGGGGCGGGAAAUGAGGCGGAAAGGGAAGAGCGACGCGCGCGGGGUUUGGCCGGGUGAUUGACGAGGCGUCGGCGGUGGCGCUCGGGUCAGCUUGCAGGGAUAGGGGUGGGGAUGUUGGAGGAGGAGGAGACGCACCUGCAGAUCGGCCGGUGCCGGCCGCUCUCGGAACGCCGCCGCCGAAUUGCCUGCGGCCUGCGGGCGCCGCAAGAGAGAGGGAGGGAGGGAGGGCGAGACGAGAGCGCAGCUGUGCGCGACAGUGUUUGGGCCUUUUUGAGGGGAUGAGCGAGCGAGCGAGGAAAAACGCUUCGGGAGGGUGAGGUGAGGUGAGGUCAGGGUCAGCCGCCCACACCGAGCGGCUGCUUUGCCCUAGUCCCCUCGAUUCGGUCACGUCCAUUCUCAUUUUUAUUUUAAAAACUAGUUGAAUAUCCAUGCGUUGUCAUGGGACAAUAUAAAGAUGCUAGAUAUUAAUGAAAUGAUAAAAAAAUAAACACAGAUGCCAAGCAAUGCAUGCCUCUGGUUUAUAAAUGUGUCAUGUCAAAUAUUGAUAUUAUUUUCCGGUUUUAUCUUUCCACAACAACCAAGCACCACCCACUCUUCCUCUCCAUGGAACAUUUUCUUCUUUUGCCCUCAUCUAGUGAGACAGGUUAGGGUCUUUCUACUACCCAUCCCAAGCCACAUAACGUACCAUGACAAAAAAGAGUAAAAAUAAGGUAUCUAUUGUACUAAAUAACAUUAAAAACCUGCGAACAAAGCCAUUAAUAAGUGGUGAAAGCCAAGCAAACAUUAAGAUCCAUAAUUUGGUCAAACUUGAUAGAUGAAAUCUACUCUCUCUAUUCACAAAUAUAAGAUGUCAUAACUUGAUAGACCAAAUCUACUCAUUUCAAUCCUUAUGUAGGCCGCAUUGAAAUAUUUAAAAUAUCUUAUAUAUGUGAACAAAGGGAGUAUGUUAUAACUUGUACAGUAUCUUGAGCUACCGCACCGACAACCCACCCCUCGUUGCAUGAGAGACAUAUCUUCCUCUCACGUCAAAUGUGUCCCAUUCAAACUCCAAUGCUUAGUGUACGUAUCUUUUGAUGAUGAGACACAAAAUCUGAGACACAUCAAAACACCAAAUGUAGAGAUGACAGAAACAGAAUAAGUGAAAAAUCCUACAACCACGAUAAAAUAUAUUUCAAUAAAGAAGUAACUUUUACUUUGUCGAAAUAAUGGUAAUGUUUGUUAGGUUGCCUCAAAACCUCAAAAGCUAGACCACCAUUACUUUUUUUAGGUAGUCAAGACACAUAAUUUUAAAAUCAAGUGGUACCUAUUAAGUGAUGUAAAGUGUUGCAAUUGUAACCAUUUGGUUGAAUCUUUUUUUAGGUAGCCAGGCACAUAAUAAUAAAAAGAUGAAGUUCUGUUGAAUUUCAAUGUCCAUGGAACAAACAUUGCAUUUCUCUUAGUCCAGGGAACAAACAUUGCAAUUUUAGGUAGGCAGACACAUAACCUAUUUUAAGGGAACAAACAUUGCAUUUCUCUUUGUCCAGAAUUUAAUUAUUUGACUCCAUUUAUCCAGCCCUUACCACAUGAAGGGAAAGUAAUGCAUACAGAAAAGCUAGUAAGUUUAAAAGUAAUUUUAUGAAAAUAUCAUACCAAUGAAAACAUAUUGUAACGUCGGUAUUCAUCUUGUACUAUUGCUAUCUCAAACAAAUAGAUUUUUUUUUGCAAGAAUUUGCUCAUAUAGCCCCAUGUAUGAGCUAACACUAAAGUAGGAUGCAUAAUUAUAUGACAUGAUGCAUUAUCACAUUAGCUUCACAAACCUAAAGGUCACUAAGAUAAUGCCCAUUGCGACUUCCACCAAAUAUGUACAAUGUCUUGCGGUACAGUUGUUCCAUGCUGCAGUAGCCAAAGUUCACAUCAAUGGUACAAAACUAAAUAUUGUAACAAAAAGGAAAAAUAGGGUAACGGCCCUACAAGUUACAUAUAGCAGAGGCAAGAAAAAGAUAUGGUGCACCUCAUAAUGGGGUUUAGGUUGUUGCCCACAAAUAGAUAAUGCAUGUCAUCCAUCGCUAGCACUGACAGUACUAAGACCUUACAGAGUAACAUCUUUGUCUUGUGUCCCCAUUGAAACUUUCAGAAACGAUUUCAACAAACUUGAUAAUAGCCCUAGGAAUAAACACCGAUGGGCUAAUGCAGGCCCGCAGGGCCUGGACACAUCCCAUUUUUUGGGCUAUCAUCUCUCUCGUCUUCUCUGCAUAGCUUCACAAGCACCAGUGGCACCAUCUAUUUGUUUGUCCAUUCUAUUUCCUCUCCUCUAAUGUGUGCAUCCGAAAAUAAUCUGAUGAUUGGUCACUGGACCAUUCCAAGAUGUCGCGUUCUCGUCCAUGUAGGUUGGUCCAAAAAACUGGAUAUAGAUUCUGGUAAUAAGCUUGCAAUGCACCAGUUUUUUGCUUCAGGGUACCUAAGGUAUGAAUUCUGAUAUGCAGGGACGGGCAGAUAUCCUCUUUCACUCGCAUUUAAAAAAAAGAAAGUCGGGCCGACUCCAAAUGUCAAACUGAUAGUUGUGCUUAAGAUUUAGGGAGCGGUUACCAAGAUUGGUGAUAAUUUUCUGUUGACACUCCAGCCUGAGGUAAGUCCAAUGAAGGGUCAAUGCUUCAAGUCCGUUCAAAUGCCUUGUAUCGUCAAUUACUUAUCACCUGAUUGUCUAUAAAUUUAAAGAUCAAACUAUUAGUUACCUUCGAGUUAGUGAAAAAACAAGCAGAAAACCAACUACGACACUAAUAGUAAUAUCUUUCCAAGGUACGCCUUAGCUUCAAAGAGAGACAUAUCCAUAUGCAGUGCCAUGAUAAGUGAAUGCUACUUUAAAGCCAGAUUACUUGACAGUAACACAAUGUAACCAAGAAAUAUUUAUUAACUUGUUCCAUGAAGCAUUUGUUGUCAAAUUGUGCAGCUACAAUAGUUGAAAAGGAACUAAAACACGACUAUCAAUUGCUAAAACACGAUAGUAUAUUGUCCGUUGGCAUUAAGUUGAGCAUAUAACAAAUUAGGAAAAGGAGGAAUAGUGUGGAUUACAGAGAGAACCUCUGUGUGCCUGCCCGCCGACACUCACAACCAACCCUCUGGGGUGAUGGGAUAAGACGCGACCAACUGUUAAUCGGUGUUCUCGCACCAUACUGUCCUUACAUGCCUCCCCACCUCAUCAGUGAGUUCCUCAUCAUCUCAGAAUAACCACCACCUGUUAUAAACACCCACGCAGUGGUAGCAUGCAUUUUUUAACGUAGUUAGAUCUUGGUCCUUUUAGAUACCUAUUGUACUGACCAUGUGGGGUUUAAACCUGCAAAGAUUGGUUUUUAAAAUAUAAAUGAGGCAUAUCACGCACGAAAAUAUGCAUGCAUAAUUUGUUGUUCUCAUAAUUAAUCCCUCCACCCCAAAAUAAGUGACUUAAUUUUGUACUAAAUUUGUACUAAAGUUAGUACAAAGUUGAGUCAAUUAUUUCGGGAUAGGGGGAGUAUGAAAGAGGCAUAUCUUCAGAAAAGAAGGGAGGCACUCUAAAUAAUAAUAGUUGGUAUAACAUACUGUUCAUGAACAAAUACGGCAACACCAAUAACUACCUUUUGAGAUUGACCAUGUUUCAUGAAACUCGAAAGCGUUGCUUCACAAUAAAAAGAUCACCAACAUUCAUCAUGCAUGACGCUACUCUGUGAACCUGGAUAUGAACCAACAGCAAAUUGCUAACACAAAUAUUUCAGUUAAGAGAGUGUCCAAUGGGGUAAAUUAUGAAGCAAGAGAGUGCAGAACAAUGAGGUUAGCUGAGUGAGAAGGAUCCAGCAGGCUGACAUAGCUUAUUCUAAAUAAAGGUCAUAAAAAAUCUGAUAUAUAGUAAAAAAAGCUGCUGAAAUAGGCCCAGGUUACCCUACUGAAAUACAAUCAGAACCUGAAUGUAUAUUAACUGAAUCAAAAAUGGGCUAUCAUAUCCAUGUUCAUACACAUAGAACACGCAGGAAAAUGAAUCAACUUAAUCAAUGGCAAACCUAAACAGAAAAGUGAACAUAAUAUGCUCACCAGAGCGACAUAUGUGUCUAAGUGUGCUCACAAUUUAAUAUGUAAGAGAAUCGACAUAUGACAUGCAACUGAAUUUUAUUCCACGCGGUUACUACAAUCAUAAGAAACAUUCACAUGUUGAAUAGAACAUUGUUUGGCGGUCCCAGAAAUAUUAACAUGAAACAUCACACCAAAGUAUAUUUGAAUUAACAAUUUAAAUAAACCCACAAAUGAAUCUAAUAAAUUACAUGCCACUCCUAGAUUAUCAAAUAAAUACGAGGAACUCAGAGGCACAUCAAGAACAUAAUAGAAAUAACAUAGUAACUCAAAAGUUAACCAUACUCAAAGGAACCAUGAAUAAUAAAAAAAACAUGAAAAUAUUUGUUCUACCAUUCAUGAGAUGGAACCAACAAUCUAACUCCACCCCCGCGUUUCUAUGGUCAUAUGGAGAAUUUUAUUUAUUGGGCUCGAUGUAAUAAGAUGAACAAAACUAAGGAAUUAUGCUGAUGCCAUCGGAUGGCCUUCGAUUUUGGAUGCGUUGGUAACUGUGACAUAUCCUUCAAGUUACCUAUUGUUAGGGGUCGUAUUUACAGGUACAGAAUAUCAGGACAUUAUCUUGGUAAGGAUUCGGGAAAACGGAAAUAAACUAUGAAAAAGGCUUAAACCCCUCUCUUAAGACAUACUGUAGAAGAGAAGAGACACUUAAGAUAUUUCGAAGAAACUUACUGCAGCCCAUCAACAUCGCAAUGCAACAUCCCUGAUGGUUCUGUUGGGCAGCAUAGCCGCUAUCUUGAUGUACCUCAUGAUAUUAGGUUCCCGAGCAUAUCUGCCAUUACCAGCAAAGAAACAAUUAGAACAUCAAAGGAAAUGGCUUCUCAAGCCAGAUGGUGACAUUAGACAUGGUUCUCUUUCUUUCUAGGAUUCCUUUGACACAAAUUCAUCGGUUAGAAUCUGAUGAGCUCAUCGGCACAAUCAUAGAGUACUCAAUUGCGGCUGUUAAGGCAUGCUUAUGGUUGGAAGAAACCAAGUGCAGAUCCACAGUAAUACCAAAUAACGACGAAAGCGACGCUAUAGCAGAUGCGCUAGGUAGUGCUAGAAACUAAAAAGGUAAAAAGGUUCCAGUGUGUCAUAGACACUUUCCUAUUCACAGAACCCUGCAGUAGGUUUCAGGCAUAUGCAUUUAGUUAAAUACACUGAAAAUCACCAUAGGAUACUUGCAAGAAAAAAAAUCCUAGAACAAAUGGAUUUACCUGCAUCAAAAGUGUUAUGAUGUCACUCACAAAUGUAACUUCGCGUUUAGUCAAAUUUUCAACAUAGACAGCAACCCGCAUAUCUUCAUGGAGCUGCACAUUAGGUUUCAUGUGUACUACAAGUAAUGAAUGAUGGCAUCACCCUAGUAACUCAUAUUCACUUAAAGUAACAGCAAGAAAGCAUACUUGAAGAUUUGUGGAUGACAGGUCAAGAAGAUCUGUAAUUUGUUCAUUGUAGAUCUCCAGGAAAGAACACUUGCAGUUGUACUUAAGAUUCUCAUCCCUCCUGCUCUCAUGUUCCUGCAAUUUUAGGAUUCGCACAUAGCAGAUUUAGAAACCAUAGCAUUAUAAGACACAUUACCCUAUGCUCACCAACAAGUCUUUUGUUAUCAACAGAUUUAAAAAAAUACUGCUUUGAUUCUCGCAGUCAAGAACUGGAAAAUACGUGGUGCCAUGCCACAUUCUGAACCAGGCUUCACUCCCAACUCACUGAUUUCACCAAGCAUUGUGUGUGUCUUUCCACUUCCAGUUUGCAAACAAAUAAAAGGUUGAAGCAGAGUUUUCCAUUAUAAGUAAGACAAAUUAAGUUUAUAACAUAUACCUGCCCAUAAGCGGCCUCCUCCACCUGACCGAGCACGGCAACGACGACAGCCCCAUGGAGGGGUCCUCCCUCCUCCCGCUGCGCUGCCCCAAAGUGCGGCGCCCCAGUGCGGGAGGCGGCGCUGGCGUCGUUGCGUUGCCCGUGCACACGGGCCGGUUCUUGCUUGCCGGCCAGCGCCGCCGCUACCCGCUCCUCCCUCUCUCUUAUCUCUUUCUCUCUAACAAAACAAUGUUGCACUGGUUGUAUUUGUUCCAUUAGCUCCGUUCAAGAUUUUCUCGAUGCACAUCUUAUUUAUCUUACCGAGGCAAGACAAAUUUUGCUCUUCCUCCUCUUUUACUGGUUGUAUCUGUUCCACUGGUUGUCAAGUUUAGAUGUUCUAAAUCAUAGGAAUAUUGCCAUUAGUUGUCCCAACUAACAGCAGCACUCCACACUGUAUAAGUACUCCACACAUACAGAAAUACUCUAAGCACUUUUUUCUUUGAAAUCAAUACUCACACUUUCAGAGACAAAAAUGAAAGUUAUAGUGAGCCGAGCAUAAGUAGAAUAAAGGACCACUUUGCUUCCACUGAACAUGUAUGAGUAGUUAAAAUGGUCAUGUCCAGUUUUCAUUUAGUACUUAUUCUAAUUGCUAUAGGGUCAUGUAUGAGUAGUUAAAAUGAUCAUGUAUUAGUUAAAAAGAUCAUGUAAGAAGUAUAUGGAUGUUCCUUACUGUACACAAAUUCUGUCAUCCUGGAUUCUCCUUAUUGUGAAUAAAUUUAGUCAUCCAAAAUGUUCAGUCUUAUCUAACAUUUGCAGUUUAAGCAAGCAAGAAAUAAAUGUGUAGUUGUUAAAGUUUCUAGUUUCAUAUAUUUAAACUAAAUUGCAGUAGUAGAUGAAUGUCACGGUAUGAGAAGCAAUCUUCCCAACAAAGAAGAAGUCAUACAGCAAGUGGAGUUUUCUCCGAAAUGACACUUUCUGCACUUCCAUCAGGCAUGCAGAUCCUCACCUUGACCCUCCUCAACAGAUCGUAUCCUGUCAUGUUGUAGUAGUGAUGAUCAAAUUCACGCCCACCUUCCGCGACAAAAGGUUCAGAUCUCAUUCCAUGGCGCAGCAACGGGGAAUCAUCAAUCAAAAUCUGUUAAAAAACAACCCAAGUAGGAGUAUUACCUGGUGGUUGUCAGGGGCGAAGGAGGAGGAAGGCUAUGACAACCUCAUUCGAGCGGCCGCCUUGGUCUGCUGCUGCACCACCAGCAUGGACAACCGGAAUCCAAAGUCGACGGACGUGAGCAGGUCCCCGAGAACCCACAGCUUCAAGUGCUCGCUCCAGUCCGAUAUGCCGGCCGUCAGCGGCAACUCGCGGCUCUCCGCUUGCCGCCCGACCACAAGCAACUCGACACCUCGCUUCCUCCUCCUCCUCCUCCUCCUCCUCAACAAGAAUAAUCUUUGUCUUGCACAUAAUCCAUCAUAUAAACAAUUAGCUACAGAUCAAACACCAAUACAAGAUUAAAUAUGAAGCAUUAGUUUGUGACUUGCCUUAACAAGGGCCUAGAUGAUGUCUCACGUGCACAUGUAGCCAUGUAGGCGAGUUUAUCAUCACCCCGACAACAUGCAGAAUUUAGGUAAACAUCUUCGGUUA
rnacentral:lncRNA from 1 species